AGGAAUGGACACAUGAAGAAGCAGACCCGAAUCAAACAGCCCAUUAGACACAGUGCAAGUGUGCUUUGAUCUACAGAGUUCAUACCUGGAUGAUUCUGAUGCCUGAUUUCUCACCAGCGCUCUCUGCAAAACAGCUGCAUCGCGUUAUACUUCAGUAUAAAAUACAUGUCCACAACCACAGAAGACUCAGAUGCACGUCUGUCCGUGAUUGCUAGACUGUUUUCAUAUUUUUCCAGGGCAUUAGAAGCCUCUUCUGCUCGGAGAGGAUGUGGAGAGAGGGGAAAGAACAGUGAAAUGCUGGGAUAUUCUGGUUCGGUGGGCUGGAGCACAUGAUGGACUCAAUCUAUCCGGUGGAUCCGCCUCCCGUGAACAUAAAAAGAAACUUCAAAGCCCAUACUAUACAAGAAUUCUUUUUAAAAACGUGUUUAAUAAAUCAACCCCCUCCCUUUACCAAUUUAAGAAUUUUUUCGAUGACUUUUGAGAAGAUUUUGCUACAGGAACUUCCAGGGGGAACUUUUUGUUGACGCUCGUCACGCUCAAAAACCUUUUUUUUUUUUUUUUUUCAGGUAACCUAACGACGUUUUAAACAAACACUAAAAAUUAUUUGUAGCUAAUGUUUUCAAUUAAUUGAUGAAUAAGAACACCAUUUAAGAACUGUGCUCGCUACAGUUCCCGCGGUUACAGCCACCAGAGGGCCUCGGUAAUUUUGUGGUGGAUCAAAAAACUGAACAUUUUUACUGUAAUAAAGGUCCCAGUUGUAAGAAAGGUAUUUUCUUUCGCCAUUCAUUUUGCCUCCAGCUGUCGAAGUUCAAACGCGUUUCGUAAUUUGCGUCAUGAUCAAUCAUUAUCAGAAGUGAUAAUCAAUAAUGUUUGCCGUCACUGGUUUUUCUCUGUGGAUUUUUUAAACCUCUUUGAACAGCAAAUAAACAUUACCAUUGGAAAAUUCUGUUGCAAGACAUGGCCUAUUAUUUACAACAGCAUUUCUAUAACAUUUGGGCUUAGGCUCUGUAAAGUCAGAGAAAUAUUCUUCUAACUCAAAGAAUAGGCCUAGAUAUAUAAAAUAUAUAUAGUAUAUCAUUUGGAGUCACAAGAUAACAAUUAAACAGUCUACUGUCUGCAAUCUAAUCAACUGUGCUUUUGUAGGAAUCCCCCACUUCCGAUUGCAAUAUACUAAGUCUUUUUAUUUUCAUUCAGUUUUUAUUUUGAGCAAUCACAUGUUCACCUGGAAUGCUGACCCACAACAAAGACCGACACUUACAGGCAUACCAUUGAUACAGCUUUAGGCAUUUCACCUGUUCAUCAAAAGGAGAAGAUGAAAUUUUCAUCCUGCUUUUAAUGCCUGCCAAGAACAAAAGGUAUUAAAUAACCAUGAUGACGGCUGCCCUCUACAGCAAUGGCUAUCUGCAAGAUCUUUCCUAGCAGCAUAAUGCUGCCAUGUUUUUCACUUCCAUGUAUAGCUGGUUCUAUUCUUGUAGUUGUUAGGAGUAGCCUAAUACAAACACUGCACUAUCGGUCAAAUGCAUCUGCCUUGCUUUAGAAGACAUCAUGGAUAGUGCUGUGAAUGUCUUCAAAGACAGGUUUGACUUUGCACAAUAGUAAAAGUGAGAUUUGGUGGAAGUAACUUUACAGUGCACAGAAGCCUCCUGGAGGAGCAUUGGGGCACAUUUUCCAGCCCUCAGCAACUUCGCUUCAACUGUGCUUUGGUAGACCAUGUGGGCGACCUUUAUAUCAUCGGCAGAGAGUUUGAGAACGUAAUGUCCUCUGUGGAGAAAUAUAAAGUCUCUUAGGACACCUGGAGCUAUACUAAUCUUCCAAGACCUGGAUUUCCAAGAAUCGGCUCCAUGUGGACGUUCCUCUUGACUGCCAAAGCACAGCAGAAUGCUUUUACAAAAGAAAGAUAAUGGAGUUGAGAUCUCCUCUGGCCUCAGCUCAAGUGCUUCUGUACAUUGUGUUGACUGAGUUUAUUAAUAAUAGCGGUUAAUGUUACGUAACAGUGGAUUCCUAGAAUUUCACCUAAUUUGACAUUAGGUUAGGGGGUCAAAUAUUUUAAUUGGCUGCAAAAGAGAAAGGUUGCAUGUGGGAUUUGCAUUUUUUGUAUUAUUACUUCAGAAGAAAAAUUAGGUAAGUGGCUGCUAGUAGAUUUGUAAGACUAAAACAACAGGCUUCCACCUGUCACAACAAAUUUCAUCCUGCUCAAAAGUAAAAAAAAAAAAAACGUAAAAGCUCAUAACCUUCUUGAAAUAAUAUUUCAGAGAGGAAUUAUCCUCAUGUAAUAUUUGCUGUCCCGAUUUAUGAACAUUUACAGUUGUACUGGACAUCAAAUGAAUAAAAAGUGUCUUUGGAUAAAAGUGUCUGCAAAAUGACUAAAUGUAAAUGAUUCUAAUUAAUUUACUUUUCAGAAGGCUAUUUUACUAUGCACUAUACUGUUUAAAAGUCUCAAAGAAGUCUCUUAUGCUCAUUAAUUUAUUUGACCAAAAAAACAAAACAAAAAAAAACAGUAAAAAACAUAAUAUUGUAAAAUAUUAUUACAAUUCAAAAUAGCUGUUUUCUAUUUGAAUAUAUUUUAAAACUGAAUUAAUUUUCAGCAUCUUCAGUGUCAUACGAUCAUUUUGAAAUCAUUCUAAUAUGCUUAUUUUCUAGGCAACAAUUAUUUAUUAUUAAUGUUGAGUACAGUUGUGCUGCUUAAUAUUUUUGUGGAAACCAUGAU
rnacentral:lncRNA from 12 species